AAUUGAUACGCCCAGGCUUACCAUGUAGCGGAAGCUUUCGAAAAGGUGAAACUCAUAUAUUAAAUACUUGCGCCGGGUAUUUAAUGUUCGGCUCCGCCCGA